ensembl:lncRNA
CAGACAGGCUGCAGCUCAACACCAAAUCCAGGUAGAGUUCAUGUGUUUUCCAUCUGGGAAGAAUUUUAGUGUUUCUACAGUAUAAAGAACAAUAUACAGAAACAAUAAUAGUUAGAUUAUGUUUUCAAAAUCAUUGAUUUGCAGACAUGAAUUUUUACCAGCUAAUGAAUGAGAAAAAGGUCAGGACCUCUUUCCAAGGCCCAUUACAGCCCUAUAUGGUUUUUUUUAAUUGGCUUUGAGAAACUGUUGUCGACACGGCCAGACAGAAUUUAAUUGCAUGAUAGGUUGCUGGAUACAUUUCAUUUCAUUGUUAGUUCUGAUUACUCAACUAUAUCCCCAAAUUAAUCUGUAAAUUUGCAGCAAAUUUGCAAAAAAAAAAAAAAAAAAAAAAAAAAAAAAAAGGCCCACAUACCUGUCUUUGCAAUAGAGAAAGGUAGUGGAAAAACAUUGAAAAUAACCGCUGGAAAGAAGGUGAAUAUAGGAGAUUUUCAAUUUCCCAGUGAAAACAUUAGUUUCCAGCCACACACUCACCUGGGAGCUGCAGGAAAUGGGGAACGUUUCACAUCAAGGCAUGAGCCGAGAGUGGGGAAUACAGCACAGGAAACACAAAACUCAACCCCUUCCUGUCCAACUCUGAGUGUGUGUUAGUGUGUGCAAGUAAGGGAGAACAAGAUUAUAUCAUAACCAUCACAUUUCUGGGUCUUUGUGUGAAUAAACUGUAUGACUACGACAUACAUUUUAAACACAUCUGUGCAAAAACAGAGUUCUUUUCUUUUUUUAAUGUUUUCACCAAAAAAUAAGAACCAACAUGGUUGCACGCUCAUAUUUCAUUCACCAUUCACAAGGGCAACAGAGGCAGGUAUAACGGGCCAUUUAAUCUACAGCACACAGCUGCAUCUUUCUAAUGACCUGGAGAGGGAGCUGUUCUGGUUGCAAAAGCAAACCUGCUUAUGUAGAGUUGGAUGGAAAUACCCCCUUUGGUCCGUUUGAACUAUGACCUCAAUAAAUUCUUUCCUCGGAAGUUCAAGGGUGUUAUUUAAUAAAAUAUGUUCAUUUUGUAAAUGAUGGUCCUCAUUAGAGUCAAAAAGGUAGAUGAAUAUGGUUGGGCCUACCUUAUGAUGGAAAAGUUACUGUAUGAGGGUG